rnacentral:rRNA from 1 species
CUAAGUUUGAUGGCGACCGGCGCACGGGUGAGUAACACGUAUCCAACCUGCCGAUGACUCGGGGAUAGCCUUUCGAAAGAAAGAUUAAUACCCGAUGGCAUAGUUCUUCCGCAUGGUAGAACUAUUAAAGAAUUUCGGUCAUCGAUGGGGAUGCGUUCCACUAGGUUGUUGGCGGGGUAACGGCCCACCAAGCCUUCGAUGGAUAGGGGUUCUGAGAGGAAGGUCCCCCACAUUGGAACUGAGGCACGGUCCAAACUCCUACGGGAGGCAGCAUG